rnacentral:misc_RNA from 1 species
AGUAGGUCCCGAAGAGUCACAAGCAAGUGGGCUAUUUCUAGAUUUAACAUUGAUAAGAUGAGAAAUGAACCAUUUGGUCUCCACAAUAAUUUCAAAUAAUCAACUAAAAAAACUCGUCUAUGGUUCUAGCCUGCUGCAUGAUGUACGGCAGCAUUGAUGCUGAAGGCAAAUUACACUAGAAGAUUUAAAGCAUUAAGGGGAAAUUAUCAAUUCCGAAAAUGAGACUGAUUUGCAGGAGCUCAU